GUGCUCACUUCAGCAGCACAUGUACUAAAAUUGGAACGAUACAGAGAAGAUUAGCAUGGCCUUUGCACAAGGAUGACACACCAAUUUGUGAAGUGUUCCAUGUUCUU